rnacentral:tRNA from 1 species
UGGGGUUAUGGCUCAGUGGUAGAGUGCUUGCCUAGCAGCACAAGGGACUGCGUUUGAUCCCCAGCACCACAA